rnacentral:rRNA from 1 species
AAGUGAAAUUUUACCAGAGUAUUAAUAGUUAUUUUCUUUAAAUUCAAAGAAUUUGGCGGUGUUUUAGUCCUCUUAGAGGAACCUGUUUUAUAAACGAUAAACCACGAAUAUCUUACCUAUUUUAAGUUUGUAUACCGUCAUUAUCAGAUAAUUUUGAUAAAAUAAAUUAUUGAAAUUAAUUUUAUUAAGUAAAUUAGAUCAAGGUGCAGUUUAUAAAUAGGAAAUAAUGGGUUACAAUAAAAAUAAUUUAAAUGGAAUCAUAACAUGAAAAUGUAUAAUGAAGGUGGAUUUAAUUGUAAUAUUGUUAAUUAUGACAAUUUGAUAUAGG